GCCUGGCCCAGCUGCCGCCACCGUGCACACUUCCCCAGAGGCGUUUGAUUAACUCAGUUUAUUUGUAAACAGAAGCGGUUGACAUUUAAUAAUGGAGAGGCCAAUGUAAGUGGCAACCCUUCCGAAUCUUGCAGGCUUACAAAAUUAAAAGCUGGUGCCUGACAAUGAGGGGGAGGGUCCAUUAUUCGGGGACACUGCCUCCAUGGCAACAGCCACAAGAAGCUGUCAUGCGCUUGGCCAGCGGCUGUCUGCACCAUAGCAAGGGGCGCAGGUGCAGCCAGUUGGCUGCCGUGGUGGGCAGUGGCGGGCAAGUGGCGCACCUGUGGUCAUGCCCCCGACUUGCAGUUUCUCAGCCAGGGUUGGUGCCUGCGGCCCAGGCAGCCCCAGCCUUGCUUGUCAGUGUCACUGCUUGCCCGUGGCCGUGGUGACCUUCCCUGCCCCAGCAAGCGCGGUCACCGCAUACUUUCCUCCAAGCGGUGGUCUGAGCCUCAGGAGUCUGGCCCGCCUUCUGCAGGCAGGAGGGGCGGAACCGAGGUGCAAGGAGAGGCUGUGGAGUCUGUUAUCCACCCCGAGCCAGGCUGGGUGACCCGAGGGACGCCGUCCCUACACGGAGACCUCCUUCCCGGCUGUCCAGUUGCGCAGCCCUGAACACAGCCGGCACAGGAGGGGCAGCCCCUCACUCUGAAUGCUGUCCGUGUGACUCUGUUUGACCUCACAGGGCCCUGUGAUGUCACAGCUGACAGCGGGCCUGCCUGGCUCAGGUUCCAAGGAGCAGUGGACGGGAGCAGGUGGCCAGUUCCUAGGACGAAGAAGUAGUUUCUGCUUGGAGGACACUGAGCGGGGCGGGGUGGCUAAGGGGACAGGUGGGGCACUGUGCCAUCUUGACUUACAGGAGGGCCUGGGCGUGGCCCUCUGCUGCCCAACCUGCUGGGUGUCCUGCCUCUGACUGCCGUGUCCCCUGCCGACUGCGACCAUGAGAUACGAGCCAGAACCCAAGAAGUCCCCACCCCACCUGCUGCAGAAGUUCGCAGUGUGUGACAUCCCCCUGUACAACAUCUGUGACUACAACGUCUCCCGGGACCGCUGCAAGGAGCUGGGGUGCUGCUUCUACAAGAGCGUCUGCUAUGAGAAGGCUAUGCCGAUCUACGUGCACCUGUCCUCCAUCUUGCUCGUGGUCAUCAUCGUUGCCUUGGUCAUCGCUCUCGUUAACAAGAUAGUCCAAGAGAGGAGGAAGCAGAAGGAGGCUGUUGAGGAGACGCUGCCCCCUGAGUCCAGCAGUGAGCCCGUCGAAGAAUCCCUGGCACCAACCGGUGGCUCUGUCUCCAAGAAGAGCGACGAGGGCGCGGAGGAAGGGGAGGAGGAAGUGCAGGAGGAGGAGGAGGACUGAUGUGUGCAGGAGGACGUGGAGUGCCCAGAACUGGCCCCGCACUGCGCAGCAAUGGCCCCUAGUGGGGCUGUGCGGAGGGGCCACCCAGUGAGGCAAAUAAAGGUAUUUUGAAAGUUGCUUCCGGCCUCAGUCCUGAGUUGCUUUAGUGAGUCAUUUUAGGAGUGGGUAAGCCAU
rnacentral:lncRNA from 1 species